UACAGGGGGUGCAAACGUUGCUCGGAAUUAUUGGGCGUAAAGCGCGCGUAGGCGGCUACUUAAGUCGGAUGUGAAAGCCCUUGGCUCAACUGAGGAAGUGCACCCGAAACUGAGUGGCUUGAGUACCAAAGAGGGUCGCGGAAUUCCCGGUGUAGAGGUGAAAUUCGUAGAUAUCGGGAGGAAUACCAGUGGCGAAGGCGGCCUUCUGGACGGAUACGUGACGCUGAGGCGCGAAAGCCAGGGGAGCAAAGCGGG
rnacentral:rRNA from 1 species